UACGAAGGGGGCUAGCGUUGUUCGGAAUUACUGGGCGUAAAGCGCGUGUAGGCGGGUUUUUAAGUCAGGGGUGAAAUGCCAAGGCUCAACCUUGGAACUGCCUUUGAUACUGGAGACCUUGAGUCCGGGAGAGGUGAGUGGAAUUGCGAGUGUAGAGGUGAAAUUCGUAGAUAUUCGCAAGAACACCAGUGGCGAAGGCGGCUCACUGGUCCGGUACUGACGCUGAGGUGCGAAAGCGUGGGGAGCAAACAGG
rnacentral:rRNA from 1 species